AAAUAAAAAAAAAUGGUUUCCUCAAAAGCUUUGUAAUGCACUUCAUGAUGUUAAUCGGCUUCCUCAGUUUCUGAAUGGUUUCUAAAAUCCGAUGAACAACCACCGUGCCGGCCGUCGGUGUUAGCGUCAGCCACCGCUUGUCGGUGACAGAAACUAAAGUUUUUUAUCCCUUUUUUGCUCUCCUCUCACUCUCCUUUUCAGAAAUCACCAUGAAAACAACCAAAAACACUCAUGUACGCGCAGAUCUAACAAAGAAAGUUCAAAUUAACAAAGAAGAUACCUUUUCUCUUUGAUUUCUUUUGAUGGAAAUGAUUACAACACCCUAAGAAUCUAUUACAACGACCCCUUUUCGUUUUUUUCUCUCUCUAUCCCUCUCUUUUUCGUGCUCUCCUCCUCUGUUUUUAACCGAAAAGCCACCACCUUUUCGUUUUGUUUGCUUUUGGAUUAUAACAAGAGUGGAUGGCAUGCUCUUGAUGAUGACAGGCGACAGCGGAUCAGGCUCCACGGUGCACAGGCGUGACAGUCGUGGCAGUCAUGGUGUAGCAUUCGUGGCAUUAAAUGUCCCGGAUAUUACGAGAUUCCUACUCUUUUUUGUCUGAAGGAUCAAACAGCUAGUGCAGCGGCUCAACUGAUGGCUUUGGUCUGGCUUGACUUGGCGUGGAUAGGAGUUGAAGGGCUUUUCUGGCGGCGGCGACUGAUGGCUUGAUGGGGAUCAUUGGCGGCGGCUAGCCCUAAAAGAUUUGGUGAUUGGUAUGCAGCGAUAUUGGUGGUCUGGUGAUGCCAAUAAACGUGGAUGGCCGAUGGUUGCAUGGAAGACCAUGUGCAAGCCUAAACGUGAGGGUGGUCUUGGUUUUCGAGACUUGUAUAGUUUCAAUUUGGCUUUGUUGGGCAAACAGUUCUGGUGUUUCAUUAAAGAGCCGGAUAGUUUGGUUGCCAGUGUUUUUCGAGCUAAAUAUUUUCCUAAUGGUGAUAUUUUACAUGCUACUUUGAAGGAUAUGAGCUCCUUCGCUUGGAAAGGUUUAUAUCGUACUUUGCAAGAUUUGAAAGGAUGCCUUUUUUUGGAGAAGUGGUGUUGGUAGUAAUAAACGAGUUCAUUGUGACAUAUAGGGUGGUACCAAAGUUGUUCUUCUUUAAGGGAGUUGUUGUUUUCUGAGGAGGAUGCUUUGCAGAUUCUUAAUGUUCCAAUUGCUCUAUGUGCAGAGGAUGUCAUUAGUAGGGGCAAUCAUGAUUCUGGAUUGUAUUCGGUACAGUCCGGUUAUUGGUGGUUUUCAAAGAAGAUUUCAUGAUAAUGAGAGGAAGUCAAAGUUGUGGUCGAUUAUUGCUAAAUUGAAGAUUCUUCCAAAGGUCCGUGUGUUUGCCUGACGGGUAGCUCGGAGUGCAUUGCCUAUUGACCGUCGGAUUAAAAGUGCUGGCCUUUCCGAUGGCAUGUGUCCUAUGUGUUCUACUGAGGAGGAGAAAACAUUGCAUGCUUUGAGUGAUUGUCCUAGGACACUGUUGUUCUUGCGGCUUGCGAAAAUUCCUGCUUGUGUGUCUUUGAGUGUCAUGAUAGCCCAUUGUUAUGGAUAGAGGAAGCUUUCUCAAUUCUUGGACUUGAAUUAUUUGCUGGUUUUUUUAUUACUUUGUGGAAUAAUUAGAAUUCAUUUGUUCAUAAUGAUAGGUUGCAGCCGGCUUGGCUCUUGAUUACAAAUGCAAAGGUACUUCAUCAAGACUAUUUGAGGUCGAUUGCAUUGGCGAAGGUUCAUCCUCUUUCAUCUGUGGAUCGUACUCGUUGGACUCCGCCAGUGGAGGGGGUUAUUAAAGUUAAUGUGGAUGAUGCAUUUGGUUAGUCUCGAACAUUGGCAGCUGUUGGUGUAGUAACCCGCAAUCAAGUGUGGUGGUUUGGCUCAACCUUCUGUUGGAUGUUUCGAGGCCGGUUUUGCGGAACUUUAUGAUUUACUUGCUGGCCUAAGGCUAGCUUGUGAUAUGGGUUGGACAGAUGUUCAGUUUGAAACUGAUUCUAUGAUGCUAGUUCACAAGAUUACAAGAUCUUCUGCAGAUAUCUCAAUUUUGGGUAUGUUCAAGAGGCUCGUGCAAUUAUUCAGGAUCAUCCUCAUUUUUGUGUUAUGCAUAUACCCAGAGAUUGUAAUCGUGAUUCUCAUUCGUUAGCUAGUUGGGCUUUAAAAUCGGGAGGAUCUUUGAUCUUUGAUUCAGUUUGUCCCUAUAUCAUU